rnacentral:rRNA from 1 species
UAGGGAAUAUUGCAAAAUGGGCGAAAGCCCGAUGCAGCAACGCCGCGUGGGCGAUGAAGCCCUUCGGGUCGUAACGCCCUUUUUGAGGGGAUGAGGAAGGACAGUACCCUCAGAAUAAGCCUCGGCUAACUACGUGCCAGCAGCCGCGGUAAAACGUAGGAGGCGAGCGUUAUCCGGAUUUACUGGGCGUAAAGCGCGUGCAGGCGGAUUGGAGAGUAGGAUGUGAAAGCUCCCGGCUUAACUGGGAGAGGUCGUUCAAUACUUCCAGUCUUGAGUGCAGUAGAGGGGAGUGUAAUUCCGGGUGUAGUGGUGAAAUGCGUAGAUAUCCGGAGGAACACCAGUGGCGAAAGCGGCUUCCUGGACUGUAACUGACGCUCAGACGCGAAAGCUAGGGUAGCAAACG